ensembl:lncRNA
CAAAAUAUACCCAAAAACCUAUCCAGAUCCAUAUAAAAGUACAUCAUGUAUGUUUUGUGGUUUUGUACUCAAAAGUACAUCAUGUAUGUUUUGUGGUGGUGUGUGGUGGGGUGUGGAGGUGGUGUGGAGGUGGUGUAGUGGUGUGUGGAGGUGUGUGGUGGGGUGUGGAGGUGGUGUAGUGGUGUGUGGAGGUGUGUAGUGGUGUGUGGAGGUGGUGUAGUGGUGUGUGGAGGUGGUGUAGUGGGGUGUGGAGGCGUGUGGAGGUGUUGUAGUGGUGUGUGGAGGCGUGUGGAGGUGGUGUAGUGGUGUGUGGAGGUGUGUGGAGGUGGUGUGUGGAGGUGUGUGGAGGUGGUGUAGUGGUGUGUGGAGGUGUGUAGUGGUGUGUGGAGGCGUGUGGAGGUGGUGUAGUGGUGUGUGGAGGUGGUGUAGUGGGGUGUGGAGGUGAUGUAGUGGGGUGUGGAGGUGUGUGGUGGUGUGUAGUGGUGUGUGGAGGUGUUGUAGUGGGGUGUGGAGGCGUGUGGAGGUGUUGUAGUGGGGUGUGGAGGUGGUGUAGUGGGGUGUGGAGGCGUGUGGAGGUGGUGUAGUGGUGUGUGGAGGUGUGUAGUGGUGUGUGGAGGUGGUGUAGUGGUGUGUGGAGGUGGUGUAGUGGGGUGUGGAGGUGUGUAGUGGUGUGUGGAGGUGGUGUAGUGGUGUGUGGAGGUGGUGUGUGGUGGGGUGUGGAGGUGUGUAGUGGUGUGUGGAGGUGGUGUAGUGGGGUGUGGAGGUGUGUGGUGGGGUGUGGAGGUGGUGUAGUGGUGUGUGGAGGUGUGUAGUGGUGUGUGGAGGUGGUGUAGUGGUGUGUGGUGGGGUGUGGAGGUGGUGUAGUGGUGUGUGGAGGUGGUGUAGUGGGGUUUGGAGGUGGUGUAGUGGUGUGUGGAGGUGUGUGGUGGGGUGUGGAGGUGGUGUAGUGGUGUGUGGAGGUGUGUGGAGGUGGUGUAGUGGGGUGUAGUGGUGUGUGGUGGGGUGUGGAGGUGGUGUAGUGGUGUGUGGAGGUGGUGUAGUGGGGUUUGGAGGUGGUGUAGUGGGGUGUGGAGGUGGUGUAGUGGUGUGUGGAGGCGUGUGGAGGUGGUGUAGUGGUGUGUGGAGGCGUGUGGAGGUGGUGUAGUGGUGUGUGGAGGUGGUGUAGUGGGGUGUGGAGGUGUGUGGUGGGGUGUGGAGGUGGUGUAGUGGUGUGUGAUGGGGUGUGGAGGUGGUGUGGUGUGGUGUGGAGGUGGUGUGUGAAGGUGUGUGAUGGGGUGUGGAAGUGGUGGUGUGUGGCGGAGGUGGUGUGUGGAGGUGUGUGAUGGGGUGUGGUGGUGUGUGGAGGUGGUGUAGUGGGGUGUGGUGGUGUAGUGGGGUGUGGGUGUGGAGGGAUAAGAUGAGAUGAGUUCUGUUCUGAUGAGAUGAGAUCUGUUC